UGUAAUAGAGGCUAAAUUGGUUGUGUAUAUUGGUUGAACUUUUUUAUGUAACUAGAAUUCAGAUGAUAGGUCCGCGUUGAUAAAGCAGUUUAUCAUAGCACAGUUUACGCACACCAUGUCAAGAAAAAUAAAAAUGAAACAAUCACCAUAAAUUGAAUUGACUGGGCUUUUUUUCUGACACAACCUCAAGGGGAUUUUGGUAGAUCUAGAUAAUAUUUCCCUUUGUUUCC